rnacentral:rRNA from 1 species
UUAUUGGAGAGUUUGAUCCUGGCUCAGGACGAACGCUGGCGGCAUGCCUAAUACAUGCAAGUCGAGCGGACUUGAAGAGAAGCUUGCUUCUCUGAUGGUUAGCGGCGGACGGGUGAGUAACACGUAGGCAACCUGCCCUCAAGUUUGGGACAACUACCGGAAACGGUAGCUAAUACCGAAUA